GAUGAACGCUGGCGGCGUGCCUAAUACAUGCAAGUCGAGCGAACCACUUCGGUGGUGAGCGGCGAACGGGUGAGUAACACGUAGGUGAUCUGCCCAUCAGACGGGGACAACGAUUGGAAACGAUCGCUAAUACCGGAUAGGACGAAAGUUUAAAGGUGCUUCUGGCACCGCUGAUGGAUGAGCCUGCGGCGCAUUAGCUAGUUGGUAGGGUAAAGGCCUACCAAGGCGACGAUGCGUAGCCGACCUGAGAGGGUGAACGGCCACACUGGGACUGAGACACGGCCCAGACUCCUACGGGAGGCAGCAGUGGGGAAUAUUGCACAAUGGGGGAAACCCUGAUGCAGCAACGCCGCGUGAGUGAAGAAGUAUUUCGGUAUGUAAAGCUCUAUCAGCAGGGAAGAAAAAAGACGGUACCUGACUAAGAAGCACCGGCUAAAUACGUG
rnacentral:rRNA from 1 species